UUUAAUUGAAGAGUUUGAUCAUGGCUCAGAUUGAACGCUGGCGGCAGGCCUAACACAUGCAAGUCGAGCGGCAGCACAGAGAAACUUGUUUCUCGGGUGGCGAGCGGCGGACGGGUGAGUAAUGCCUGGG
rnacentral:rRNA from 1 species